rnacentral:rRNA from 1 species
CCUACGGGAGGCAGCAGUAGGGAAUCUUUCACAAUGGGCGAAAGCCUGAUGGAGCAACGCCGCGUGCAGGAUGAAGGCCCUCGGGUUGUAAACUGCUUUUAUAAGCGAGACAUAUGAUGGUAACUUAUGAAUAAGGAUCGGCUAACUACGUGCCAGCAGCCGCGGUCAUACGUAGGAUCCGAGCAUUAUCCGGAGUGACUGGGUGUAAAGAGUUGCGUAGGUGGCAUAAUAAGUAGCUAGUGAAAUCGGGUGGCGCAACCAUUCAGACUAUUAGCUAAACUGUUAAGCUCGAGACCGUGAGGGGUAACUGGAAUGUCUAGUGUAGGAGUGAAAUCCGUAGAUAUUAGAAAGAACACCAAUAGCGUAGGCAGGUUACUGGGACGGUUCUGACACUAAGGCACGAAAGCGUAGGGAGCAAACGGGAUUAGAUACCCGGGUAGUC